rnacentral:rRNA from 1 species
UACCAGCACCCCGAGUGGUCGGGACGAUUAUUGGGCCUAAAGCAUCCGUAGCCGGUCAUGCAAGUCUUCCGUUAAAUCCAGCCGCUCAACGGUUGGGCUGCGGAGGAUACUACGUGGCUAGGAGGCGGGAGAGGCAAGCGGUACUCAGUGGGUAGGGGUAAAAUCCUUUGAUCCAUUGAAGACCACCAGUGGCGAAGGCGGCUUGCCAGAACGCACUCGACGGUGAGGGAUGAAAGCUGGGGGAGCAAACCGG